rnacentral:rRNA from 1 species
GACGAAGGGGGCUAGCGUUGUUCGGAAUUACUGGGCGUAAAGCGCGCGUAGGCGGCUCUUCAAGUCAGGCGUGAAAGCCCCGGGCUUAACCCGGGAAUAGCGCUUGAUACUGUUGGGCUUGAGUCCGGGAGAGGAUAGUGGAAUUCCCAGUGUAGAGGUGAAAUUCGUAGAUAUUGGGAAGAACACCAGUGGCGAAGGCGGCUAUCUGGACCGGAACUGACGCUGAGGCGCGAAAGCGUGGGGAGCGAACAGG